UUAAUUACAUUUUAUAUUAAAUUGUUUGGUUUUAAUAAUAAGGAUAACAGCUGACUGAAUCGUAUCGUCAUCAUGAAGAUAAAUAAUAAUUUUCUAAAUAUAAAAAAAUAAUCAAAAAUAAUUAGUUGACUUAAUUUUUUUUAGGUAAUUGCAUAGCUUAUUUACAAAUAUACUGCGCUUUUAGCCGAUUUCCGAUAAUCCAAACCGACUUACUUUAAGAAAACGAUGCUACCCGAACAAACAACGCGACCCUUAAUUAAAAGUUUUGUUCGUUGUCUAUUUGCGAAAGUCAAUAAAAGUUCUGAAACAAGUCAACAAUUUCAAGAUACUUUUGAAAACAGUCUGGAUACAAUAGUUGCAGGAAGCCGGAUUGGAAUUCUGAGAUCGAUUCGGCAGACAGAGUUCAGUUCAAAAAUGUGGAAGACGUACAGGAGCUUAAGCUUGAAGCGCGGAAGCUUUUUGAAUUGUUCUAAGGCAAACGCUUGGAAGCUUACAUUAAACUGAAGAGAAGUUUUAAUAGACCAGAGCCCAAACGAUGCUAAACUGUUUACCUUUGAAAACUCGAUGGAGCAGUAAUUAAUCACAAAUCAUAGAUGACAUUCUUCUUCUGAAUUGUAGAUCGGCAAAUUGGGUAUUCUUUAUACAACAUGCUGUUUAACUUUAUUGUGAAACAAACAAAAUAAUUUUUCUAUGAAUUAUGUAUUUUAUAGUAUCGAUUAUAAUAAACCAAUGAUGUCAAAAUGA